rnacentral:lncRNA from 1 species
GACUAACCACAUACACUUGUCACUUUUGUUGGUUUUGGUUUCUUGUGUCAGUACUUACGUGUCGGGAGUAGUCGGACUCCCGCGUCGCGCCAGCAAAACCGGACAGCUGGGCGACGCUCACUUUUGACGUCGUGCAGUGUCGCCUCGGCGCGAGGCGCGGGUCCGACGAAACCACUUUUGUUUGUUGUUAUUAUUUGGUCCUAGUCAUUAUUUGUGGGGUAUUCUUGUGUUAUGAAUCUGAGAAUUAUUGUGGGAAUAUGGGUGAUUGAUUUAUACUUGUUUAAAGGUGAAUAUUGGGAUUAUAAAUGUUUAGUUUCCAGAACGUUCUGGAGAAUGGUUCCACCCAGUUGAAGGGGGCGGGGCCAGGCCUUUAAGAAGAGUGGCCAAACUCCCUUGUGGGGGAGAGUGGACUGGACGGAGAGCGAGUUGGUUGGUGAGAGAGUGUUGACGAAGAGAAGAGACAUUCCUUUUAUUUGAGCAGUUUUUUUUUCAGGUUGAUUUCCUCAUCCAUAGUUGUCCUUAUCAUUCUGUUUUUUUUGUCUGUUGCACCCGCGGGGUUUUUGGAGCAACUGUAAAUACUGCACCUAAUUCUUUUCUGCACUAUACUUUUGGACUGAAUAAACUCACCAUCUGCGAGCAAGCCAUCUUUGUUUUGGUUGUUUUUUGCACGGCGUUCCACGUCUCGAGUGAGCAGCAGAGCUCACUCACCACAGUCAGACAGGCAAAAACAAUGACAGGCAGGCAAGUAAUCAAAGUGCUGGAAUGGAACUCUUACAAAACUCAUGAUAUGGCAGGGAACAAAAAAAAUGUUGUUGGCUAUAUACUAAACUAACGACCGGAUUGAAAACAACUGUGUGAUCACGUGACUAAAACGUAAAGCAGGAAAAAGGUCAUGACUGAACAGGAACCGGAAGUGACUACAAAAUAGAACAGGAAAUGUGUGACAAAGCACCCAGACUGUGACAGUUUUAACUUUAGCAGUUAAGCACACACAUGCCCCAAAUCCUUUCAGAAUUAAAGCAUAAGUCAAAAUUAUUAGUAUAGGUAGUAGAGGCAGAGGGAGUUAACCUUGUUGUGGUCGGAGGAAGGGCAGAGUGAGCUGCGUGGUGCUGAGGUGUGAACAACUGCAGCUGGGAGGAGACGCCUGGACUGUAGAGUUGUGAAGAGGGAGCCAUGUAGAUGGAGACUGGGGGCUGGGCAGAAUAAAUUGUGUUGAAAAACUCA